rnacentral:rRNA from 1 species
GCCAACCACAGCCCUAAUAAAUAUCAAAUAAACUAUUAAUUAACCAAACUUAAACCAUUUCAACCAUCUAAGUAUAGGUGAUAGAACAGUAUCUUUAGGCGCAAUAAUAAAAGUACCGCAAGGGAAAAUGAAAGACUAAUUAAUAGCACACAUAAGCAAAGAUAAAUACUUGUACCUUUUGCAUAAUGAUUUAGCUAGCAACCACGGACAAAAGAACUAUGCCCGACCCCCGAAAUCAAGUGAGCUACUUUAAAACAGUUAAUUUGAACCAACUCAUCUAUGUAGCAAAAUAGUGAGAAGAUUUUAUAGUAGAAGUGAAAGACCUAUCGAACUUGAUGAUAGCUGGUUAUCCAAAACAUGAAUUUUAGUUCAAUAUUAAGUUUAUUUAUGCAACCAACAAGCUAAUCUUAAACUUAAAGUUAAUCAAAUGAGGGACAGCUCAUUUGAUCUAGUAUACAAACUCUAUAUGAGGGUAAUGUUAAAUUAAUAACCAUUGUAGGCCUAAAAGCAGCCACCAAUUAAGAUAGCGUUAAAGCUCAAACAUUCACUUUAACUUAAUUCCAUAAUAAUAUCAAAACCCCUUAUAUCAAAUUGGAUGAUUCUAUUUUAUAUAGAAGACAUAAUGCUAAAAUUAGUAAUAAGAAUAUUAUUCUCCUCGCAUAAGCCCAUAUUAGUAAACGGAUUACCCACUAACCCCUAACAAAAUAUUUAAUAAAAUUACAAACAAGACCAUUAUCAAAAUUAUUGUUAACCCAACACAGGCAUGCGCUAUUACAAGGAUAGAUAAAAGAAUAAAGGAACUCGGCAAACUAAACCCCGCCUGUUUACCAAAAACAUCACCUCUAGCAUAAAAAUAAUUAGAGGCACUGCCUGCCCAGUGAAUUAACUUAAACGGCCGCGGUAUCCUGACCGUGCAAAGGUAGCAUAAUCACUUGUCUCCUAAAUAGAGACUUGUAUGAAAGGCAAGACGAGGGUUUAACUGUCUCUUUUUCUUAAUCAAUGAAAUUGACCUGCCCGUGCAGAGGCGAGCAUAUUUAUAUAAGACGAGAAGACCCUGUGGAGCUUAAGAUACAGCUUAAUUAUAAAAUAACUAAACAUCCUACAAUGGACAUAAUCAACACAUACUAUUAAGCUAAACCUUUGGUUGGGUGACCUCGGAGCACAAAACAACCUCCGAAUGAAAUAACCAAGAUAUACAAAUCUAAGUGCAACACGCCAGUAAUUGACCCAAAUAUUGAUCAACGGAACAAGUUACCCCAGGGAUAACAGCGCAAUCCUAUUUAAGAGCCCUUAUCGACAAUAGGGUUUACGACCUCGAUGUUGGAUCAGGACACCCAAAUGGUGUAGCCGCUAUUAAAGGUUCGUUUGUUCAACGAUUAAAGUCCUACGUGAUCUGAGUUCAGACCGGAGAAAUCCAGGUCGGUUUCUAUCUAUAAAUAAAAUUCUCCCAGUACGAAAGGACAAGAGAAUUAAGGCCAACAUUAAAAACGAGCCUUACUACUAAUUAGUGAAAUUAAUCUUAACUAAUUAUAAAUUUUACAACUACAACUCUAGAAAAGAGUAU